rnacentral:rRNA from 1 species
GGAAUCUUCGGCAAUGGGGGCAACCCUGACCGAGCAACGCCGCGUGAGUGAAGAAGGUUUUCGGAUCAUAAAGCUCUGUUGUAAGAGAAGAACGUGUGUGAGAGUGGAAAGUUCACACAGUGACGGUAACUUACCAGAAAGGGACGGCUAACUACGUGCCAG